ensembl:lncRNA
GUCUGAUGAGCCUACAUGCUCCAGUGCUGCUCGAUACCCAGGCUCUCGGCCACUACCUGAUUGCACUUCCCAAAACUGUUCUUCUCUGCUGGCUCUGAUUCUCUUAUCCUUUCCAACUCAAUCGCUUGGAAAGCUUACAUGUAUUUUCUCUAUCUUAGGAUCUAUAAUUACUCUUAUUACCCUUUCCCAUCCUCAUUCUUCUCUGCGCAGGAGAUCAAAUUGCCCCAAGCCUCUCGCUGAGGACACAGAACACAUGACAGACAGCACAGCAUCUUAUGUGCCGCGGACCAUCUGUUUUGUGCCACCAGGCUCCUCACCAAGAGGCCAGUGAAGGAGAAGCCUCUGGCAGGUGGGAGUGGCUGAGAAAGACAGAUGAGCAACCUGGACACAACGCCUAGAGCUGAACACCUCCCUGUGUCCACUGCCUUCUCCGUCUCAGGCUUGAAAGAAUGUCUAUUUUCUCAUCGUGCAUCAAAGCUAUUUUCCUCAUCGUCUUGGUGUUUCCUUAUUAUUGCGAAACAGCUUUGGAUCCUAGAUUUGAAAUCAGACCUUGGAAGCCAAACUGUAAACAAUAUCCACCUGGGCAUAAAUAUUGUACCAGAGAAUGGGAUCCAAUCUGUGCAAGCAAUGGGAGAACUUAUGGCAAUCCAUGUGAUUUCUGCUUAGAAAAGAGGUGAGCACACAACAAUACAUUUUUGCUCUUCAAAAGUAGGAAGAGACCAUCACAAAAUGAUGGCAAAAGCCAUGUGGCUGGUAACCUGGGCACAACAGCUAUAGACAGUAACUAUUAGAUGUCUGUAAAUAUUUAGGGGCCACUACUGAACUCUGCCCCCAAAUUCUUCUUUCUGAAAGUCAUUUUGAAUUUGAGCUCUUGCCAAAAUUGUGCUUGAUACUAUGCAAAGGCAGAAAUCAAUUCAUGGGACCUAAUGGUGAAUUCCUAAAGGCAGACCAGCAACCAGCAUGAUGGGAUUCCUAAGCCCANAUCCCCCACAUUGGCCUCUGUUUCCAGAGAUUCAAAAUCAUGUCUCUCAGAUCUGGGGUUGGGUCCCCAGAGGGAGUCAGAACAGAGCAGGUGGGAAGAGUCAAGGAGCCCCAUAAGGAAGAGACAGGUUCUGCAGCCUAGGAGAUAGUGGAGCCCAGCUGCUUCUGGAAGUGGAGCACAGCCUCCCCACCGUGUUCCAUGUUCAAAUCCUCACUGUUGAGAAGUGCUUUGGUAUCAUGUUUUACAUCCAUCUAUAUUCUACAUGCAGACUAUCUAGAUUUCUGCACCAGAAAAAUGGACCCAAUUUGUGCAGACAAUGGUCAAAUUUAUACCAGUGGUUUUACUGUCUGAAGUGAGAUGACCCAGGCAGUUUCUUUUUCCUUUCCUUUUUUUUAAGGAUCCUAUUUAUUUAUUCAUGAGAGACACAGAGAGCAACAGAACCAUAGACAGAAGGAGAAGCAGGCUCCCUCCAGUGAGCCAGAUGUGGGACUGGAUCCCAGGACCCCACUAUCACACCCUGGGCAAAGGCAGAUGCUCCCCUGAUGAGCCACCCAGGCAUCCCCAAGACAGUUUCAAACAUCACUUUUUUAAGUAAAAUUUUUAUGUUACCGUAACUUUUGAUUUUCAGGAAAAUUUAGGAGAUAGUACCAAUUGUCCAGGACUUUUAUUCAGUUUCCUCUAAGG